AUUUCAGGAAACUGGGGCUAAUACCGGAUAGGAGCCCCUGCUGCAUGGUGGGGGUUGGAAAGUUUCGGCGGUUGGGGAUGGACUCCCGGCUUAUCAGCUUGUUGGUGGGGUAGUGGCUUACCAAGGCUUUGACGGGUAGCCGGCCUGAGAGGGUGACCGGCCACAUUGGGACUGAGAUACGGCCCAGACUCCUACGGGAGGC
rnacentral:rRNA from 2 species